UUCAAGCUUCUCGACAUGCACAACGUUGUGAAAAAGUUCCUUCAAACAGGUACACUCCUUCCUCUGCAAUGGGUCUUCUUUUCCAAAAACAAAAAUCAAAAUCAAGGACCUCAUUUACAAGGGACGCCACAUUUCUCAAGUAUAUCCUACGGCAUGACACCAGAAAUUUCAAAUGAAUAUAUGGGGAUAAUAUUUCAAGUGAUAGGUCACAUUCAUCAAUUUCUGAGUUGUCUAUGAUCAAUUUUCUCAACUUCGCAUUGUUGAUUUCAAGACAAUGAACUCCCAAAAAUUGGUACAAUUUCAAGCACUCCAAGUUAGGGCAACCAGAUAAUACCUUUUCCAUGACACCAUCUGUCCAAUCUAUGAACCUAAAUGAAAGAGAAACGACACCACUCCAGUCCACAUUAGCUAAAGGGUUCAAAUUUGUACAUAACUGUAUAUCCAAUUUUCUCCAAGACGUAUUCUUAUAUGCGAACUGAGGAAAUACAUAUCCAUCUUCACAUCUAAGUUUAAAAUGUUCAACAUUAGCUAGUUUACUUGCAAAAUACACCCAUAAAUCGACAUCUUUAACAAAUCUCUCUGGGUCGCGAGUAUCGUAUACGACACUAAAUUUUUUGAUUUUCUGACAACUCCUCCAAUAAUUGAGCUCCAUGAUACAAUGCGUAGAUGAGCGUAGAUGAUUAGGAAUAUUAAAAAGUAGUUAAUACUGUUCAUUAGUCACAAAAACAGUUAUCACUGUUCAUUGUUUGUUAGAGUUGUUAGAAGUAGUUAUUUCAGUAGAUUGUAGCUUUAGCUUUCAAUUCAACUCUAUAAAUACAGAUGUAAUACGAUUGUUAAGGCAUGAAAUGAUAUAUGAUAAUUCUUCUUCUCUCUCUUUUACUAUGUUCUUCUUAGCUUCUAUCUCGAAAUUGCCCUGAUAUAGCUCUCUUCUUCUUCGAGGUUCAGCCUCCUAGUUGAUAUUAUCCUUUCGAUUACUGUUAAUUGGAUCAAUUGGUAUCAGAGCAGCUGGUCCUCGGCUAAGAAAUCAUGGUUGCUCGGGAAAAAAAUCAAAGACAAAUCUUCAGAGGAAAUGGAGGGCAAAAUUGUCUCAGAAUACAGGAACAAUUGCAGAAGUUGAUGGAAGGUAUGGUGAAUAUCAAUGAUAGAAAUGUACAAACAGAUAAGGAAUUAAUGGAGAUCAAGCAAGCCCUAGGAAAUGCGAAACAGAAGGACAAGGAGAUGGAUCAAAAUAGAGUUGAAUCAUCUGUGGGUGGAGACAGAGAACAGGGGUUUUGCAAUGCAGCUGGGAAUUUCCAAAAUUCUAAUGGUAAAUUUCUUACCCGAUGUUCUAAACUUGAUUUUCCUAGAUUUUCGGGAUCGAAUUUGAGGGCAUGGUUAUAUAAGAUGGAUCAGUUUUUUGCCAUGGAUGAAGUUCCAUAUGAUCAGAGGGUGAGAGUAGCUUCUAUCCAUUUGGAUGGUGAAGCUAUUGCUUGGCAUAGAUCAUACUUGAAGUCUAGGAACUCAGUUAUAGACCCUUCUUGGUCUGAGUAUGUGUUGGCUGUUAAUGAAAGAUUUGGGGAGGAAUUUGAAGAUUCCAUGGAAGCUAUUAAAAAUUUACAACAAACUGAGGAUGUUAGAACAUAUCAGGCUGAGUUUGAUAGGUUAUUGAAUGGGGUUAAUUUGUCAAACGAAAAUGCUAUCAGUUGUUUUCUGGGAGGAUUAAAAACUGAGCUCAACAAGGCUGUUAGAAUGCAAGCACCCAAAACCUUAAUGCAAGCCUACAAGUUAGCUAAGUUGCAGGAAGAGGUUUUUGAUGCUCAGGCUAAGUCUUGGGGAAUUAGAAAUAGCAGGAAUCAAAAUGGUCUUCUCCCUACUCCAUCUAGGUUUCAGGUUGUACAAAAACCUACUUUCUCUAGCACAGCUGUCAAGAAACCUUAUGAACCUAAUGCUAACAGGUUCAGUAAUAGUAAUACUUACUGGUAGAAGAUUACUGACUGCUGCUGAGAUGGAUGAGAAAAGGACUAAAAGACUGUGCUUCUUGUGUGAUGAGAAGUAUAUGCCUGGGCAUGUUUGUAAAUCCAAGAAACAGUUAUGGCAUGUUUGUAAAUCCAAGAAACAAUUAUAUUUGGUUGAAGUUCUGGAGAAUGGGGAGGUAAUCAUGGAGGAAGAAGUGUUAGAAGUCGAUGAGUGCAUGACAAUUUCCUUACAAACAUUUACUGGAAGUACAGGGUAUCAAACAAUUCAAGUAACUGAAUACCAUGAAAAACAACCCUUACAGGUGCUUAUUGAUAUAGGUAGUACUCAUAAUUUCAUUGAUGAGUCAAUGACAAGGAAGUUAGGUUGUAAAGCUUUGCCUAUACAUGAGCAAUCAGUUAGUGUGGCUGAUGGUAGGAAGGUUCAAAUUGCUGCAGUGUGUAAAAAUCUGAAGUGGUUACUGCAUGGUACAACUUUUUCUUCUGAUUUCCUACUACUACCAUUAGGGAAUGUUGACAUAGUGUUGGGUGUGCAGUGGUUAAACACUUUGGGUAGGAUUUUGUUUGAUUUCAGAAAUAGAACUAUUAAGUUUGUGCAUCUGAGGAGGAAACAUGUUUUAAGGGGAGCCAGUAGCCAGAUCAAGACCACCAAGGCCCAAUCCUUAAAUAAAAAGAGUGCUGAUUUAGUUCAGGUUUUUAUGCUAACCUUGGUGACAGAUGCAACCUAUGAUAUGCAAUGCAACAAUAUACAAGUAACUCAAGGUACUGAUAUUCAUCCUACAUUAACUGUUUUAAUGGAACAAUACAAGUGCCUCUUUGAUAUGCCUAGUUCAUUGCCCCCUCAUAGAGUUAUCUUUGAUCAUAAAAUACCACUCAUUGACUCAGCUACUCUUGUUAACAAAAGGCUUUAUAGAUAUCCUGGAAUGAAGAAAGAUAUUAUUGAGAAGCUAGUACAAGAAAUGCUAGAUCAAGGUGUGAUACAACCUAGUUCUAGUCCCUAUGCCUCACUUGUAAUCCUUGUUGGGAAGAAAGAUGAGUGUUGGAGGCUUUGUGUAAACUAUAGAGAUCUCAACAAACUGACAGUAAAGGACAAGUUUCCUAUUCCUAUCAUUGAGGAUUUGUUAGAUGAACUAGGAGGAGCUGAAGUGUUCUCUAAGAUUGAUCUUAGAGCUGGUUACCACCAAUUAAGGAUGAAGAAAACAGAUAUCUAUAAGACAGCUUUUAAAACUCGUGAAGGACAUUAUGAAUUUCUGGUUAUGCCAUUUGGUCUUACAAAUGCACCUUCUUCAUUUCAGAGUCUUAUGAAUGUUGUAUUUAAACCACUCCUCAGGAGGUCAGUACUGGUUUUUUUAUGAUAUAUUGGUGUACAACAAGGAUAUGUCAGCCCAUGUGAACCAUUUACAAGUUGUGUUUGAAUUGAUGAAGCAACAAUAGCUGUUUGCCAAAGGUUGUAAGUGUGCUUUUGGAGUACCUGAGGUAGAGUACCUAGGUUAUUUCAUCAGUGCUAAAGGGGUAGCCACUGAUCCUAAGAAGAUUUAUGCAGUACAGGCUUGGUCUGUCCCUAAAAAUAUCAAACAACUGAGAGGGUUUCUUGGUUUAACAGGAUAUCAUUCUGAAUUUUGGAUCCAUUGCUAAACCUCUCACUGAAUUAUUAAAGAAGGAUAAGUUUGUGUGGAAUGAGGGUGCUACUACAACUUUUCAUAUUCUCAAAAAUGAACUAGUGACUGCACCUGUCUUAGCAUUACCAGACUAUGAUAAUCCAUUCAUCAUUGAGACUGAUGCAAGUGGUUCAGGAAUUGGUGCUGUUUUGAUGCAGCAAGGGCAUCCAAUUGCCUAUAUGAGUAAGUCAUUGGCACCUAGACAUCAGGCUAUUUGUGUGUAUGAUAGAGAGCUAUUAGCCAUCAUAUUUGCAGUUACUAAGUGGUCUCAUUACAUAUUAGGAAGACAUUUCAUUGUGAGAACUGAUCAAAAGGCACUAAAACAUCUCCUGGAACAAAGUAUUCAUACUGAUUUUCAAGUUGCUGGUAUUUCUAAAUUGAUGGCCUUUGAUUUUACUAUUGAGUUCAAGAAAGAGACUGACAAUAAGGCUGCUGAUGCCUUGUCAAGAAAUCAAAGUGCUGAGUUGUUGGCUGUUUCACUCUUGACUCCUAAUGACACACUUUUGGAGAGAAUUAGCCUAACAUGGACAUCUGAUGCUGAGUUGCAAGCUGUUAUUCGUAAGUUACAAGCAAAGCCUUAUAAAUUAUAUACCUGGAUUGGUUCUCAACUAAGGUGGAAAGGCAGGCUAGUAGUAGGGUAUGAUUUGCAGUUAAGACAAACCAUUAUUCAGUUGUGGCAUUCAACACCACAAGGUGGCCAUGCAGGUGUGGAUGCAACUAUUAAGAGGCUACAAUCCCUCUUCUACCGGAAGUCAUUGGCAGCUGACGUUCGGAAUUUUAUUCAGAAAUGUGAUAUUUGUCAAAGGCAUAAGUAUGAUACAUUAGCUUACCCUGGACUAAUUCAACCAUUACCUGUUCCUGAUGGUGUAUGGGUUGAUAUCAGUCUNNNNNNNNNNNNNNNNNNNNNNNNNNNNNNNNNNNNNNNNNNNNNNNNNNNNNNNNNNNNNNNNNNNNNNNNNNNNNNNNNNNNNNNNNNNNNNNNNNNNNNNNNNNNNNNNNNNNNNNNNNNNNUGAAUCUGUAGCUCAGUGUUUUUUGGAUAAUGUUUUCAGAUUGCAUGGUGUGCCAGCUUCUAUAGUAAGUGACAGGGAUCCCAUUUUCUUGAGUUCUUUUUGGCAAGAGUUAUUUACAUUACAGGGGGUCUUAUUACAUAAAUCGACAGCAUACCAUCCCCAAACUGAUGGUCAAACAGAGGUUCUUAACAGAACCUUGGAGACAUAUUUGAGAUGUUUUUGCUCUGAUAGUCCUCAUACUUGGGCUACGCAACUACCACUUGUUGAAUGGUGGUACAACACUACAUACCACUCUACUUUGAAAUGUACACCUUUUGAAGUUUUGUAUGGUAAAAAACCACCAAUACACUUGCCUUACUUAGCUGGUGAGUCUUCUAAUGACAUGGUUGAUAGAUCCCUGGAGGCUAGAGAGGUUGUGAUAGCCCUGCUCAAGUUCCAUUUAGCUAGAGCACAACAAAGCAUGAGAGAUAAAGCUAACAAACACUAGUCUGAUAGGCAAUUUAUGGAUGGAGAUUGGGUUUACUUGAAGUUGCAACCUUACAGACAGAUUUCAGUGGCUUCUAGGCCUUUUAACAAGCUUGCUGCAAAGUAUUUUGAUCCUUACUUGGUACUUUCUAGAGUUGGUCAGUAGCUUACAAGUUGCUUUUACCUGCUGAUGUCCUUAUUCAUCCUGUGUUUCAUGUUUCUCAGCUUAAAAAGUGUUAUGAGGUGCCUACAAUUAUUAAUCAUCCCCCUAUUUUACAUCUUUCAAGUCCUUAUUGUCCCAAUCCUGAGUUGAUAUUGGAUAGACGGAUGGUCAAAAAGGGUAAUAAGGCUAUGUGUCAAGUCUUGGUUCAAUGGUCUGGUUUGGAUGCUUCUCAGGCUACUUGGGAGUUCCUAUAUGAGCUGCAGCACAGAUUUCCUGCAUUUCACCCUUGAGGACAAUGGUGGUUUCCAUUGGGGGGUAUUGAUACAAUGCGUAGAUGAGCGUAGAUGAUUAGGAAUAUUAAAAAGUAGUUACUAUUGUUCAUUAGUCACAAAAACAGUUAUCACUGUUCAUUGUUUGUUAGAGUUGUUAAAAGCAGUUAUUUCAGUAGAUUGUAGCUUUAGCUUUCAAUUCAACUCUAUAAAUACAGAUGUAAUACAAUUGUUAAGGCAUGAAAUGAUAUAUGAUAAUUCUUCUUCUCUAUUUCCUGCAUUUCACCCUUGAGGACAAUGGUGGUUUCCAUUGGGGGGUAUUGAUACAAUGCGUAGAUGAGCGUAGAUGAUUAGGAAUAUUAAAAAGUAGUUACUACUGUUCAUUAGUCACAAAAACAGUUAUCACUGUUCAUUGUUUGUUAGAGUUGUUAAAAGCAGUUAUUUCAGUAGAUUGUAGCUUUAGCUUUCAAUUCAACUCUAUAAAUACAGAUGUAAUACAAUUGUUAAGGCAUGAAAUGAUAUAUGAUAAUUCUUCUUCUCUUUGUUCUUCUUAAGCUUCUAUCUCGGAAUUGCCCUGAUAUAGCUCUCUUCUUCUUCGAGGUUCAGCCUCCUAGUUGAUAUUAUCCUUUCGAUUACUGUUAAUUGGAUCAAUCCUUAUGGGUGGAAAUCAAGUAAUCAAGAACAUCCCUUUCCCACUUACCAGGUGGACCGAAAAUAUGAUCGGGGAAUUCGAUUUCAAGUGACACUGGAACUGACAUCCAAAGAAACUGCCAUCGCUUAGAUAAUACACUAGUUCUCACAACUUUUUUACUAUCUUCAGUGUCUUCACACAACAUAGAGAGAAUAUGAAUGAGAAUUCAGUCGGGCAAAUCACUGAGUCUGUCUUCUCUCUUCUUGCUUUUCUUCGCCAUUGGAGAAAUGAAGAACUAAUUUGGGGGUUAGGGAUUUGAAUUAUGGCGGAUUGAAACAACUCAGUUGGAUUAAAACGGAAUUAGGUGGGUCAGGUUAUCACAUUUGGGCGGGUCAAAUUUAAGUUGGCAACAUGGAUUAUUUAAACAGACAAAAUUACCUUUGAACCAUCUGAAAAGGAGCACAUAUACCCUGCGUUUAUUUUUAUAUAAAAAAUACCCCCCUCAUCUAAUUAAAGGAUCACAAAUACCCUCCUUUUAAUGGACUGCCGCUAGAUCUUACCAUUUGACAUCCAACAUGUCAAAAAAUUGCUACAUGACUGUCCACCUAGGCAGCCAGCGUGGGUAAAACACCCUCUCUUUAAAUUGAUGUCUUCUUCUCCUACUAGGUUUUUUAGCCGCAUUGACUGCCUAGGUGGACAAUCAUGUAGGAAAUUUUUUGGCACGUCACUUGCCAAGUAGGAUUAAGUCAUAGUCCAUGAAAGGGAAGGGUAUUUGUAGUCCUUUAGUUAGACGAAAAGGGCAUUUUUAAUACCAAAAAUAAAUGGAAGGUAUCAGGGGUGAACCUACAUAUAGUGUUGCGGGUGCUCGAGUAUCUAUUGACCUCGACGUGAAGUUUACAUAGAUAUACAUAAAUAUUAAGAAAACUGCUAUAUAAUACUAGUGAGCACCCACAGCAUAUAAGCCUUUUGUGGUGCGUAUUGGUUGAUAGCUGGGUGCAAACAUCUCUUGUUUUCGGUGGACGAGGGAUCGAUUCCGUUUUUCUUAUUUUUCUUCAUCUUAGUUCUCAGUGGCGAUUAGUUUACCCAAUUCUAGUUUCUCUUUUCUCUUCACCUUUUUUUUUUUUUUUUUUUUGUUAUCAAAAAGAAAGAAGUAGCUUUUAAAAGAUUUUAAUAAAUUAUUAUUCCUGAAGACUUGAACAGUUCUAAAUUGUUAGAUAGAAGAAGGAAACCAAGGAGUUGAUUCUGGAUAAAGUAAAAAGGUUACAAUGUGGUACAUGCAAACAUAAAAAGAUGUUCAAAGCAUCUGAUAAUUUGUUAGUGACAACAUGAAUCAAAGCAACACUAAGCGGAACUGUUUUAUGAAGGAAAAUAAAUUGUUUGUUAUUUGAUAACAUGAGUAUUUUCUGAUUAUUUGAGUUGUUACGGAAAAGAUUGAUAACACGUGUAAUUUUAUUAUGAUUUCAGUUGUUAGUGAAGAGAUUGAUAACACAUGUAAAUUUUGAUUAUUUGAGUUGUUAGUGAAGAGAUUGAUAACACGUGUAUUUUCUAAUUAUUUGAAUUGUUGGUGAAAAGAUUGAUAACACGUAUGUAUUUUAAUUAUUUCAGUUGUUAGUGAAGAGAUUGAUGACACUUGUAUUUUCUGACUAUUUGAAUUGUUAGUGAAGAGAUUGAUAGCACGUGUAUUUUCCUGAUUAUUUGAGUUGUUAGUGAAGGGAUUGAUGACACUUGAUUUUCGGACUAUUUGAAUUGUUAGUGAAGAGAUUAAAAACACGUGCAAUAAUUAGAAAAUACACGUGUUAUCAAUCUCUUCACUAACAACUCAAAUAAUCAAAAUGUAAAUAUGUUAUCAAUUUCUUCACUAACAACUCAAAUAAUAAUAAAAUUACACAUGUUAUCAAUCUUUUCCCUAACAACUCAAAUAAUCAGAAAAUAUAUGUAUUAUCAAACUCUUCACUAAUACAUCAAGUAAUUUGAAUUAUUGGUGAAAAGAUUGAUAACACGUAUAUAUUUUAAUUGUUUGAGUUGUUAGUGAAGAGAUUGAUAACACUUGUUUUUUCUGACUAUUUGAGUUGUUAGUGAAGAGAUUGAUAGCACGUGUAUUUUUCUGAUUAUUUGAGUUCUUAGUGAAGAGAUUAAAAACACGUAUAAUUUUUUAUUACUUGAUUUUUUUGUGAAGAGUUUGAUAAUACAUAUAUUUUUUAAUUAUUUGAGUUGUUAGUGAAGAGAUUAAUAACACGUAUAUUUUAUUAUUAUUUUUUGAAUUGUUAAAUAAAAAGUUGCACAAUUUUUACAUUGUAUCACGACAAAUGCACAAAUAAAUUCAACCCAACUAUUAAUGAAUGACAUAUAUAAUUAAUGAUAUAUUUAUAUAGGAUAUAUGAAUAUUUCAACCUUAGUACAUGUUCUGGUCCUCACAUUCGUGGAAUAUACUGGAAAUAAAAAUUUUAAAAAUGUAGGAUAAAUAAGUUUUGAGUCUAAUAAUAGAUUAUCUUUUUUUAAAAGAAUUUAAUUUUCUUGUAAUUGUCUAGAUUAGGAUUAUUUUUUUCCAUAAUAUCACGAAACAUUAUUCUUCAAUACUAAUAAUUGAACUCAUAGAAUUUCAACGAAUUCAAUAAAUAAUAGUAGGCCACAGUAUCAUUUACUUCGUUUUGUUUUUAAAACAAUGCACACAAGAGAGAAAGAAGAAAUAUUAAUUGCAACAAAUAUUUUCAAUACUGAUAAUUGAAUAGACAGAAUUUCAACGAACUCAAUAAAUAAUAGUAGACCACAGUAUCAUUUACUUCGUUUUGUUUUAAAAACAAUGCACACAAGAGAGAAAGAAGAAAUAUUAAUCCCAACAAAUAUUUUCAAUACUGAUAAUUUGAACAGGCAAAAUAUCAACGAACUCAAUAAAUGAUAUCAAAUUACACUAUCGUUAACUUUUUUCUGUUUUGUUUUAAAAAUGAUGCACACAAGAGAGAACGACCAACAUCAAUCCCAAUAACUAUUACGGAAAAGGGUCAAAAAUACCCUUAAACUAUCCGAAAUAGAUCAUAUUUACCCUUAAACUAUAUUUCAGCUCAAAACUACCCUUCCCGUCAAACUAUUGGGUCAAAAGAGCCCUUCUUAUUAACGAAAGUUGUUAAAUGCCACAUGGAUGCCAUGUGGAUGCCACAUUGCACGCCAAUAGGAUUCCACUGCCGUAUAGACUAAACGAAAAAGGGUCAAAAAUACCCUUAAACUAUUUGAAAUAGCUCAUAUAUACCCUUAAACUAUAUUUCGGCUCAAAACUACCCUUCCCGUCAAACUAUUGGGUCAAGAAGUACCCUUCUUAUUAACGGAAGUUGUUAAAUGCCAUGUGGAUGCCACAUUGCAUGCCAAUAGGGUUCCACUGCCACAUAGACUAAAUCCCUAAAUCCUAAUUACUCUUUUUUUUCCCCCUCAUUUCAUUAUUUUCCAGAAACGAUUUCACCCUUUCUCCCUCAUUUUGCAGCUAAGGUUUCACAGUUUUCUUUGUAGCUGGAUUUCAAAGUGGAUAUUCGUGGUUUUAGGUUAAUAAUUUUUUUUCUUAUUUUAUUAUGUUUACAAUUUCAAAGCAAAAUAGUUAGGAUUUCACAACUUUCCCCUCAUUUCGCGGCUAGGAUUUCAUAGCUUUCUUCGGGGUUGGGUUUCAAAGUAGAUAUUCGUGGUUGUAGGUUAGUAAAUCUUUUUUCUUAUUUUAUUAUGUUUACGAUUUCAAAGCAUGAUAGUUAGGAUUUCACAACUUUUCCCUCAUUUCACGGCUAGAGUUUUAUAGCUUUCUUUGGGGCAUGGUUUCAAAGUGGAUAUUCGUGGUUGUAAACAUAAUAAAAUAAGAAAAAGAUGUACUAACCUACAACCACGAAUAUCCACUUUGAAAUCCAGCGACUAAGAAAACUGUAAAACCCUAGCUGCGAAAUGAGGGAGAAGGGGUGAAAUCAUUUCUCGAAAAUAAUGAAAUGAGGGGGAAAAAAAGAGUAAUUAAGAUUUAGGGAUUUAGUCUAUGUGGCAAUGGAACCCUAUUGGCGUGCAAUGUGGCAUCCACAUGACAUUUAACAACUUCCGUUAAUAAGAAGGGCACUUUUGACCCAAUAGUUGACGGAAAGGGUAGUUUUGAGCCGAAAUAUUGUUUAAGGGUAAAUUUGAGCUAUUUCGGAUAGUUUAAGGAUAUUUUUGAUCAUUUUCCUUUUAGUCUAUGUGGCAGUGGAACCCUAUUGGCGUGCAAUGUGGCAUCCAUAUGGCAUUUAACAACUUCCAUUAAUAAGAAGGGCACUUUUGACCCAAUAGUUUGACGGGAAGGGUAGUUUUGAGCCGAAAUAUAGUUUAAGGGUAAAUAUGAGCUAUUUCGGAUAGUUUAAGGGUAUUUUUAACCUUUUUCCGUAACUAUUAAUUGUGGGAGGAUGGAGAUGUGUUCUCAUUUUACGUUCACACUUAAAAAUUUUCAAUAAAUAUUAUUAUGUUAAUUUUAUUAACUCCCAUUUACCACAUGGAUCAAAACAACAUUUUUAGUUAAUUAAGGAUCAAAAUGUUGGUCAAGCUACUAAAAAUACUUAUUUUAAAAUUGAGGCGUAAAAUCAAACUUUUACGAAAAACGUAAGUAUUUUUGCAUAAUAACAAAAACAUUUUUGAGAAGAUAAAAAUGGUAGCUUUUCCCAAAGAACACUGUUGGAAUCUUGAUCAAAUACAAACUAUUGCUCUCUAAAAGAAUUUUUUUAAAACGAGCUUUUUCAAAAAAAAUUAUGUUUGAAAAAUAAGUUGAUUUUGUAAGUUUUGCUAAUCAAAAUUGUCAUAGCACAAAAUUCAUAAUUUUCCCUCAUAAAUCUGUAACCUUAUUAUGAUUUUGUUUUGGAAAAUGUACAAGUACCCCCAAACUAUGAACGAAAUUACAGAAACACACCUUAACUAAACUAAGGUCCUAUUACCCCUGAACCCAUUUUUUAAAUAAUUUUGUGCACCUUUUUGGCUUACGUGGCAUCCAAAUAUCUCACACGCGCCUCAAUUGCACAGAUCAUGGAGUGUGCCACGUAAGCCAAGAUGAUACUGGUAUAUCGUAUAGAACACUAAAUUUUUUGAUUUUGUGACAAGACCUCCAAUAAUGAAGCUCCCUAUUGGUGGAAUUCAAGUAAUCAAGAACAUUCCUUUCCCACUUACUGCGUGUGCUGAAAUAGCAAUCAUGUGGGAAUUGGAAAUCAAGUGAUACUGAAACAGACAUCCAAAGAAACUGCCAUUGCUUAGAUAAUACGCUCGUUCUCACUAAUUCUUUACCAUUUUCAGUGACUCCACACAUCAUAGAGAAAAUGUGAAUUACAAUUGAGUCCGGCAAAUCGGUGAGUCGGUCUACUCUCUUCUUGCCUUUUUUGGCCAUUGGAGACUGGAGGAGGAGAAAUGAAGAUUUGGAUUAUGGCUGAUGAUUGAAACCAGGGGUGUGCAUUCAGUUUAUGGAUUUUCGGAUUUUAAAUACACUAAUCAAAAUAAUUAAACCAAUAAAAAAUUAGUUUUGAUUUUUUAUUUAACCAAUAAGAAAAUGCUAUUAUAAUAGCAAAUCAUAUUAUCAUUUAUUUUUUUCUGAUUUGUUUCAGAAAACGAUGCACACCAGAGAGAGAAGUAAUAUCAAUCCCAACAACUAUUAAUUGUCUGACUUGGAGAAUGGAGAUGUGUUCUCAUUUUAAGUUCACACCUAAAAGGAUGAAUCAGAGCCCACACAUAUAAUAGCAAAACAACAAUUAUAGAACUUUUUUUCUAACAAAUUUAUACCACUAGACAGAAUGUCUACCGUUACAUUUUUUUUAUUAAUACAAAAUCAACCUUGUCUGUAAAAUAUGCAAAACAUAUGAGCUUGCAAAAAUAAUAAAACCUAGUAGUAUCAAUUUAGAGCUUAUAAUAUACUCUAGUUUUCACAUUACAAUCAAAGAGCUAUUUCCCGGAAGAAAUGACUCUACACCAAACUUCUUGGGCAGCCAACUGGAAGACAACUUGGCUCAAUAGAACUACUUAUGUGCUUCGAAAAUUACAUUGCUCAAGAAGUUAUCUGUUACAUCUGAAUGGAAACGAAGCUCAUAUAUCUCCUCCUCUUGUACUGUUGCUUACAUGAUGGUUAGAGAAUGAGCACUUGGUUACUUGGACAUGAAGAAAGCACUAAUAACUCCUUCGAUACUGACAAGUGCAGUCCAAGCCUUGUCGAUCGGCUCAAACCAAUUUCAAACAUUAAGUAAUAACUAUUAAGUAUGUUGCGAUUAAUAAAACAAUAGGGGCCCAAGGUUAUUAUCUAUAAGAAAAGAUAACUGAAGCUUGCGGAGAGGAUCUUGGAAUGCUCAGGAGCUCCUGUGCCCUUUUGACAUAAUACAAAUCACUCUUUUUGUAUUUGGCAGCAAUGAUGAACUUUUCAAGAACUACUGCAUGCUUGAGCAAGUAUUUCACCAAUGGCAUCACAGAUACAGAAAACUCAAGGAUCUUGAUAGUCUUCAGAUGUAGAAAUGAGCAGUUGAGAUCAUGUGUCUCAAACCUCCUAAUCUGUUUAUCCGUAUUUGUGUACCUUAACAACAGGGCCUGUAGGAGAGAAUACGUUAUAUUAACCUAUUAUUAUCCUUAGAUAGAAGCAGGAAGCCAAGGAAUUGAUUAUCUAUUCCUUAGCAAAUGUUAUGAUGUGGUACAUUCAAACAAUAAAAAGAUGUUCAAAGCAUCUGCGCAAAUAUACCCUCACAUGAAGGUGAGUACGAUCACUAGUUAAACAUCUUUUUCCAACAACUACAAAAAGUUUAAUCAUAGAGUCUAUUUCAAUAGUGACAACAUGAAUCAAAGCAACACAAGCUGAACAUUUUAUGAAAAAAUUAAAUUGGGAGAACAAAAAUGUUCUUCUGAACGACUUACAAGACAAAGGAAUCAUAAGCACGCAGAUGCAACAGAUUUAUUAACAAAGAGAUAUCAUUAACUUUUGAGACUAGAAAAGCAGAAUUUGAACAAAAAAUAUGACUGAAGCAUUUGCACUUUCUAUGGGCUUAAAUGGUGUCUUGAUCAUCGUACUAGAAGCAUUUGGGUGGAUGCUAACUCCUUACUUAUUGUGAAUGUUGUCAAGCGAGUUGCAAAACCUUCUUGGCAAUAUGAACCUACUGUUGAAAAGAUUAAAGAGUUGAUUGAUAAGUCGAGGUGACACACUAAUAUAGAGAAGCCAAUGGUGUGGCUGAUUCUUUAGUUGGAUAAAGUCACCUAUUGGACGCUAAGAAGGGACGACAAAAGGCAGCUUCCUUCCCAAUUAGAUCUUUUUGUGAUCUCACAUGUUACUUGAGAAAACUCUUCACUUUUUCUCCUAUUUCAAUCUCUUAUGGAAACAAUGCACAAGGGAGCAAGCACGUCUCCACAAAUUAGAAGCUAUUGUAUAGUAACAAAUGUAAAGGUCCACGUCCAAAGGGAACUUACUCUUGAUUCUCCAUACCCAUCAACGACUAAAGUCUCAAGAUCUGAUGAACUCUGUAGAAAACUGCAAAUUCCAGGGAAAUCCAAUUGCCUCAAGGUUGUGCUAAGUUGUAAGAAUUUCCAGCUUGAUGGUGGAGGCUGCCACCCUUCCAAUUCCAGUAUGGACAGGUACUUAAUAGAGAAACCAGAAUAUGUCAAAACAAGGAAAUGUUGCAUACUUAAAUUGUUAAACAAUGUUCAAAGAUUGGUUUGGAGAUCCAAAAAUGGACUUUUAAGCACUUUGAAAAACAUUUCACAUGACCAAAAGAUUCUGAUCAAUUAAAUGAAUUUAACUUUUACAAACCAUUUAUUCUCAGUGUUCAUCAUCCAAAAUUUUGUCCAAAAGGUCUUGUUUCAAUCAUCUGCCACUUAGCAACUAGACCAGUACAAGAGUGUACUUACAAAAUUGGUUAUCAGAUUAUCCUAAGCACUGUCACUAUUAAUGUUACUAAACAAAUGAAUUCAAUUGCAAAUAUAUUCUGAAUUUUGGAUAGUGAAGGGUAUGAAUAAACCUGGAUGCACCAGGGACCUAAUUCAAGCUUCUCAACAUGGGCAACGCUGUGAAAAAGUUCCUUCGAACAGGUACACUCCAUCCUCGGCAAUGUGUCUUCCUCUUCAAUAUAACAAUCAAAUUCAAAAUUAAGGACCGUAUUGACAAGCGAAGCUACAUUUCUCAAGUAUAUCUCACGGCACGACCCCAGAAUUUUCAAAUUUUGACUAAUAAUUAAAGCGAUAAGUCACAUUGGUCAGUUUCUGAGUUGUCUAUGAUCAAUUUUCUCAACUUCACAUUGCUGAUUUCCAAACGAUGAACAUCAACAAAAUGGUACAAUUUCAAACACUCCAAGUUAGGGCAACCAGAUAAUACAUUUUCCAUGACACCAUCCGUCAAAUACAUGUACCUUAAUGAAAGAGAAACCAUACCACUCCAGCUCACAUUGGCUGAAGGGUUCAAUGUUUCACCUAACUGUAUAUCCAACUUUCUCCAGGACAUAUUCUUAAAUGCGAACUGAGGAAACUCAUAUGCACCUUCAUAUCUAAGUCUAAAAUGUUCAACAUUUGCUAGUUUACUUGCAAAAUACACCCAUAAAUGGACAUCUUUAACAAAUCUCUCUGUGUAGCUAGAAUCGCAAUUGACACUAAAGUUUCU
rnacentral:lncRNA from 1 species